rnacentral:rRNA from 1 species
UGAAUACGAGACGCUAAGGCGUCGAAGUAGUGUAUGUCAUACUUCCAAGAAAAGCUUGCACUGUCAUAGAUAAAAAACGCCUGUACCAUAACCGACACAGGUGGGUAGGUAGAGUAUACUAAGGGGCGCGAGAUAACUCUCUCUAAGGAACUCGGCAAAAUAACUCCGUAACUUCGGGAGAAGGAGUGCCUUAUUCGUAAGGUUGCAAUAACAAGAUCCAAGCAACUGUUUAUCAAAAACACAGGUCUCCGCUAAGUCGUAAGACGAUGUAUGGGGGCUGACGCCUGCCCAGUGCCAGAAGGUUAAAGAAGUUGGUUAGCAAUUGCGAAGCUGAUAACUGAAGCCCUGGUGAACGGCGGCCGUAACCAUAACGGUCCUAAGGUAGCGAAAUUCCUUGUCGGGUAAGUUCCGACCCGCACGAAAGGCGUAAUGAUUUGGAUACUGUCUCGGAGAGGGGCUCGGUGAAAUAGACUUGUCUGUGAAGAUGCGGACUACCUGCACCAGGACAGAAAGACCCUAUGAAGCUUUACUGUAACUUGAAAUUGAAAUUGGACUUUAUUCGCGCAGUAUAGGUGGGAGGCGUUGAUUAUAAUCUUGUGGGAUUAUUGGAGCCAUCAGUGAGAUACCACUCUUGUAAUGUUAGAUUUCUAACUUUGAAUCAUUAUCUGGUCAAAGAACAGUUUCAGGCGGGCAGUUUGACUGGGGCGGUCGCCUCCUAAACGGUAACGGAGGCGUACAAAGGUUUCCUCUGAACGGUUAGAAAUCGUAUCUAGAGUGUAAAGGCAUAAGGAAGCUUGACUGUGAGACCUACAAGUCGAGCAGGGACGAAAGUCGGUCUUAGUGAUCUGACGGUACUGAGUGGAAAGGCCGUCACUCAACGGAUAAAAGUUACUCUAGGAUAACAGGCUGAUCUCCCCCAAGAGUUCACAUCGACGGGGAGGUUUGGCACCUUGAUGUCGGCUCAUCGCAUCCUGGGGCGGUAGUACGUCCCAAGGGUUGGGCUGUUCGCCCAUGAAAGCGGUACGCGAGCUGGGUUCAGAACGUCGUGAGACAGUUCGGUCCAUAUCCGGUGUAGGCGUUAGAAUAUUGAGAGGAGCCUUCUUUAGUACGAGAGGACCGAGAAGGACAUACCUCUGGUGUACCAGUUAUCGUGCCAACGGUAAACGCUGGGUAGCUAUGUAUGGAGUGGAUAACCGCUGAAAGCAUCUAAGUGGGAAGCCCACCUCAAGAUAAGUAUUCUCA